GCCGGAUCCGUGUGCGCAGGGGAAGUCGCGUGCUGCAAGUUAAGAGUCCCAGCACUACUGUCGAUGCGGAGGUCACGGCCGCCACCGCCGACCCCGGCGAGGGCACCAGCGCGCGCGAGCGGGCCGCCGGCGAUGGACAUUGAGGAGAGCUGGCUCGUUAUCGACGAUGCAGUCGACCACCUGCUGCACCGCGCUGGCGAGCACAGAGCUGUGUUUCAGCCAUCCCCAGUACCCAUGGCCGCAAGUUCGAGCUGGCAUGCUCUACGUGGAGAAUGAGACGGUUGUCGAGUUCAAAGAGCUUACCUCGGCGGUCGACUUAAGUGACCAGCUGCCGGGACAGAGACUGACCGGCAGAGUUCUGUUGGUGCCUCAUACUUUUCUCUGUUUGUUUCUGUUUUCUGUUCCGCAAGUUUUUGCCAUUGUAACUAGUUGCAGUUGAAUUAGCUUGUUGCAGUUCGUUUAUAUUUUGCUGCAGGGUGUCCCUGAACCGUAAAGAGACGUGAAACGUUGGACGCUAAUGAAUGAGAUACAAGGUACUUUGAUAUGUAAAGCACAGGCAGAGCUUUGGAGUCGGAAAUGUAUCAGUUAACCAAACAAUUGAAACUGUGUUUGCGUAUUAAAUGACUAUUGAAACUGCGUCUUUUACAUGCUGGUUGCACGACCUUUCUAUAGAAUACGAAAUAACAUAAUCGCACAUAAGACUGUGAAAUAGAAGCUGCUUGGUAUAAUAGGUCCGUCUGCUCCUUAUGAUGGGUUCCUAUAGCUGGUCUGGUCUUGCAACCAGCUAUGAUCAUUGAGCGUUACCGUCCAUAAUAGGUUGUCCAGCUCGCUUGUUCGUAUGUGCAUGAAAUACAGAUUUAACUUUGCUGUUCUCUUGACUUGUCAUUCGUUCUAAACAGUACAAAAUGAGCGCAAGGUUAUUAUUUUGUCAAUUUUAUGUCGCCCAUGGCAUGACAAUAGGUAUCCACGCACUUGUCGCUUUACAGAACAUUUGAUGUCUUGUUGAUUGUUCCUAUAAAACGACCACGUUUCUGUGUUCGGUGUCAUUGCUCGGUGUUAGUAUUACGGAUAGUAUGUAUAUGGUCUUGUUGGAUGUUCUUCCUCGUCUUGCAUGCUAUUUUGCACACGAAAUAACACGCAAAAUGGGAAUGAAAAUCUGAUAAGUCGCGUUAUCCGUAAUAUUAACAGCGGAAAAUCUACUCAUCUCCUGCCGGUCAACCUUACCUAUGACUGUUGAGUAGGUUGACUGGUAAGAGGUGAGUAGAUUGACCGGUCGCUGGCGCAGUCAAUAAGUGGUGUCCAUAAAACCGCCCAUCCAUUAGUAAAUUAACUCACAGAAUGAGAGUAACGGAAAUGAGUAACCAGCGAUACAUGAGUUUUCACAAUGAGUAAGGUGAGUAGAUUGACCGGUCGCUGGCGCAGUCAAAUAGGUGGUGUCCAUAAAACCGCCCAUCCAUGAGUAAAUUAACUCACAGAAUGAGAGUAACGGAAAUGAGUAACCAGCGAUACAUGAGUUUUCACAAUGAGUUAACUCAUCGAGCGUGGGUAAAUAUGCAUGAGUAAGCGCACGUUUCAUCGGAAAGUUGACCGGCAAGUGAUGAGUUGAUUAACCGGUCGCUGGGGCCGUCAAAUAGGUGGUGUCCAUAUAACCGCUCUUCCGUGAGUUUACUCACGAGAGAAGAGUAGAUUUGUUUUCAGUGUAUAAACACACACCUAUAGGCAGCUUUUACUGUCCAAAUGCCUAACAUCAAACUCAGAAAACAUUUAAUUUAAUUCUAGUAUCAAAAAAGAAAAACAUAAAAUAAA
rnacentral:lncRNA from 1 species